UACAGAGGUCCCAAGCGUUGUUCGGAUUCAUUGGGCGUAAAGGGUGCGUAGGCGGCGCGGUAAGUCGGGUGUGAAAUCUCGGAGCUUAACUCCGAAACUGCAUUCGAUACUGCCGUGCUUGAGGACUGGAGAGGAGACUGGAAUUUACGGUGUAGCGGUGAAAUGCGUAGAUAUCGUAAGGAAGACCAGUGGCGAAGGCGGGUCUCGUGGACAGUUCCUGACGCUGAGCACGAAGGCCAGGGGAGCGAAACGGG
rnacentral:rRNA from 1 species